CGCUAGUAAUCGUAGAUCAGAAUGCUACGGUGAAUACGUUCCCGGGCCUUGUACACACCGCCCGUCACACCUUGGGAGUGGGUUGCAAAAGAAGUAGGUAGCUUAACCUUCGGGAGGGCGCUACCACUUUGUGAUUCAUGACUGGGGUG
rnacentral:rRNA from 1 species